rnacentral:lncRNA from 1 species
AGUUCCCGCCUCGCGGUGUGUGCCUGCCCCGCUGCGAUGGAGGUCCUAAGAGCAAGGGGGGGAAGAGGGGCUGGCUCUGGUAGAUUGCAAAUGACCUGCUUUUUUUCUGAUCCCGAGCUGCGUUCGGACCCCUGUCGGAUAGUAAAUCCCAGGUAAGGUACCUGCGGUCGGCAGGUCUGAGCUUUCUUCUUGGACACCUAAAACCCCCAGUCCUCCAGGUACCUGCCGUGGGCAGAUCUGAGCUUUCUUCUUGGACACCCCAUACCCACAGUCCUCCAGGCCACCCUUAAGUACAAUGUUCUCCUACCUAAGAAGGCAUCUGGAUUUUCUCUUUCCUUGGAAAUAGUAAAGAACUACUCUUUGACUGUUUUUGACCUCACAGUGAACCUCAAAUACACUGGAAUUCGCAAUAAAUCCAGUAUGGUGGUUAUAGAUGUAAAAAUGCUAUCAGGAUUUACUCCAACCAUGUCAUCCAUUGAAGAGCUUGAAAACAAGGGCCAAGUGAUGAAGACUGAAGUCAAGAAUGACCAUGUUCUUUUCUACUUGGAAAAUGUUUUUGGUCGAGCAGACAGUUUCACUUUUUCUGCUGAGCAGAGCAACCUUGUGUUCAACAUUCAGCCAGCCCCAGGCAUGGUCUACGAUUAGUACGAAAAAGGUGGAGAAGCAUUUCUUUUAACAAACUGAUUCUUCUGUAUCAAACCUGGAAAAAAAUCAUGAACCAUCUGACAUCGUGAACAGUCUGCAGUGGGCUAUGGUUUCUUGACAAGUCUUAUUUCCUUAUCAUCCCAUUAAAUGUUGUCAUUUUGCA